GUGCUUGCUUCUGCAGCACAUAUACUAAAAUUGGACCGAUAAAGAGAAGAUUAGCAUGGCCCCUGCGCAAGGAUGAUGUGCAAAUUCAUGAAGCAUUCCACAUUUUU